rnacentral:rRNA from 1 species
UACAGAGGAUGCAAGCGUUAUCCGGAAUGAUUGGGCGUAAAGCGUCUGUAGGUGGCUUUUCAAGUCCGCCGUCAAAUCCCAGGGCUCAACCCUGGACAGGCGGUGGAAACUACCAAGCUGGAGUACGGUAGGGGCAGAGGGAAUUUCCGGUGGAGCGGUGAAAUGCGUAGAUAUCGUCUGGAACGCCGAAGGUGAAAACAGCUCGCUGGGGCUGCGCUGACGCUGAGACACGAAAGCCAGGGGAGCGAACGGG